AGUGAACGCUGGCGGUAGGCCUAACACAUGCAAGUCGAACGGCAGCACAGUAAGAGCUUGCUCUUACGGGUGGCGAGUGGCGGACGGGUGAGGAAUACAUCGGAAUCUACUUUUUCGUGGGGGAUAACGUAGGGAAACUUACGCUAAUACCGCAUACGACCUACGGGUGAAAGCAGGGGAUCUUCGGACCUUGCGCGAUUGAAUGAGCCGAUGUCGGAUUAGCUAGUUGGCGGGGUAAAGGCCCACCAAGGCGACGAUCCGUAGCUGGUCUGAGAGGAUGAUCAGCCACACUGGAACUGAGACACGGUCCAGACUCCUACGGGAGGCAGUAGUGGGGAAUAUUGGACAAUGGGCGCAAGCCUGAUCCAGCCAUACCGCGUGGGUGAAGAAGGCCUUCGGGUUGUAAAGCCCUUUUGUUGGGAAAGAAAAGCAGCAGGUUAACACCCCGCUGUUCUGACGGUACCCAAAGAAUAAGCACCGGCUAACUUCGUG
rnacentral:rRNA from 1 species